GAUGAACGCUGGCGGCGUGCCUAACACAUGCAAGUCGAACGAACACACGAGGAGCUUUCGCCUCUGACGUUGGCGGGUGACGGAUGGGUAAGGCAUAGAUAACCAUCCUCUAUUUCGGGGGGAAUUUCGGAAAGCCGGUGAUACUACUGGCUAAUAUGUCCUACCGCUGGGUUCAGUGGUGAAUGGGGGUUUUCCUGUCUGUUUUAGCGGGCGCCGGAUUAGCUAGUUGGUGGGGUAAGGGCCCACCAAGGCGACGCUCCGUAGCUGGUCUGAGAGGAUGAUCGGCCACACUGGAACUGAGACACGGUCCAGACUCCUACGGGAGGCAGCAGUGGGGAAUAUUGCACAAUGGGCGAAAGCCUGACGCAGCCACGCCGCGUGGGUGAAGAAGGCCUUCGGGUUGUAAAGCCCUUUUAUUGGGGAAGAAAAAAUGCGUGAUAAUCCACGGCUGUUUUGACGGUACCCAAAGAGAAAGCACCGGCUAACUUCGUG
rnacentral:rRNA from 1 species